GGUGGCUCAGUGGUAGAGUGUUUGCCUUGCACGCAAAGGCCCUGGGUUCAAUUCCUCAGCACCA
rnacentral:tRNA from 1 species